GACAACUGGAUCUGAAGCGUAAUGAUGGUCUUCAGAAGGCCUCUCAUGGUGGUCUUGAUUCAGAGGUUUGAGAAGACUACCAAGCACCAGAGCCAGCUAACAGGUGGACCAAACAUCAAGCCAGAAUUCUGCAUGAGUCAGAAUUUAUGUCUUUUGAUAUUAUUGCCUAAUGCAACAAAUGGAAAAAAGCAUACUUUAUGACAACCUUAGCAGCAGAACACCAUGACUUUCUCCUGGGUAGACGAGAAAAAAAGUUUGGUAUCAACACCCAUCUAACAAUUAAGAAAGUUAUCUACAGCCACACAUCCACUGUAUACCAAGUUAUGAUGAUCAAUUAUGAGAAUGCAAAAUGAUUUAUAGAUCAGUAAACAAUCAACAAAAAGGUAAUGUCUUAAUUAAUAUAUUUCUGCUUUUGUUACUUAUUCAUGUAUUUGAAUUACAUCAUUCAAAAUCAAAUGUUAAUAAUUAUAGGGUUUCAACUUGUUGCAGCUUUACAAAAAAAUCUAGAAUUUGUAGGAGCAUGGACAACUGAGUAACAAAGUCAUAUUAUGCAGAUGGGUGCUCAUGGUGGCCUCCAAAUAAAUACAUGGACAGGCUGCUAAAGAGGGUCAGGAUGAUGGAGAUGCAAGAGCCAAAGACAGCACGGACCAAACACCAGGCCAGAAUUCUGCAUGAGUCAGUUUCCAGCCUUUUUCACAAAGUUGCCGACAACUGGAAGAAUGUCCCAAAUUGCUGAAAAAAGAAAUUCAAUUGAGUAAUUUUCACUCUAGAGACCCUGGGGUGACCACCAAGGACGAAUGAAAACUCCAGUGAGUGUCUCUAAGGUAGAUCCUAAUGCAGAUGGAUGGAAUGUUGAUCCGCCUAACAUGCAAGAUUUUCUGUACCGAGAACUUUGGAUGACCAUCAAGACAAGCACUCGUUUUGAGUCCUGAGACCCUGGGGUGACCACCGUGAACAAAUACAGACUGCAAAAAGGCAGUCUUGACGGUUCUAGGAUGAAUGCAAAUAAAGACUGACCACCUGACUUCAGCGGUCCAGUCUCUUGUGGGAAGCAGGUGUUUGUUACCCCAAAUACGGAUGAAGAGUGACGAAGAGGAUGAUGACUUU